rnacentral:rRNA from 1 species
GUAGUCUCGCACAGAUGCAUAUCAAUAAGCGGAGGAAAAGAAACUAACAAGGAUUCCCCUAGUAACGGCGAGUGAAGCGGGAAGAGCUCAAACUUUGAAAUCUUAAAGGGUUUCCCUUUACGAAUUGUAGUUUAAAGAAGUGUUUUUCUGUUGAGGUUUUGGUAAAAGUUCUUUGGAAUAGGACAUCAUAGAGGGUGAGAAUCCCGUAUUUGACCUUUACUUUCAACUUUGUGAUACACUUUCAAAGAGUCGGAUUGUUUGGGAAUGCAGGUCCAAAAUGAGUGGUAAAUUUCAUCUAAAGCUAAAUAUUGGCGAGAGACCGAUAGCGAACAAGUACCGUGAGGGAAAGAUGAAAAGAACUUUGAAAAGAGAGUUAAACAGUACGUGAAAUUGUCAAAAGGGAAGCGUUUGACACCAGUGUUGUUUUUCUGAAAAUCAAUUAAAGAACUGUUUAUGCUAAGUUGUUUAGACUUUAUCAGCUAUCUGUUUAGUUUUGAGCUUUUCUUUAAUGCACUCUUUCAGUUAACAAGUCAACAUCAAUUUCUUUUGCUGUAAAAAAGCUUGAGGAAGGUGGCUUGAGAUUCGUCUUAAGUGUUUAUAGCCUCUUGCCUAUGCAGUCGGAGAGAUUGAGGUCUGCAGCGUAGAUCCUUCGGGGCUAAAUGCAUUUGUGCUAAGUUAUAGCAUUUUAUAGACAACUUGUUGACUAUGAUUUGUCUUGUAGCUUACUCGCUUAUGUUAUUUUACCUACGCUUAGGAUGUUGAUGUGAUACUGCGAGCA